rnacentral:rRNA from 1 species
AGUGAACGCUGGCGGUAGGCCCAACACAUGCAAGUCGAACGGCAGCACAGGAGAGCUUGCUCUCUGGGUGGCGAGUGGCGGACGGGUGAGGAAUACAUCGGAAUCUACUCUGUCGUGGGGGAUAACGUAGGGAAACUUACGCUAAUACCGCAUACGACCUACGGGUGAAAGCAGGGGACCUUCGGGCCUUGCGCGAUUGAAUGAGCCGAUGUCGGAUUAGCUAGUUGGCGGGGUAAAGGCCCACCAAGGCGACGAUCCGUAGCUGGUCUGAGAGGCUGAUCAGCCACACUGGAACUGAGACACGGUCCAGACUCCUACGGGAGGCAGCAGUGGGGAAUAUUGGACAAUGGGCGCAAGCCUGAUCCAGCCAUACCGCGUGGGUGAAGAAGGCCUUCGGGUUGUAAAGCCCUUUUGUUGGGAAAGAAAUCCAGCUGGCUAAUACCCGGUUGGGAUGACGGUACCCAAAGAAUAAGCACCGGCUAACUUCGUGCCAGCCGCCGCGGUAA